AUCGAACUUCGUGCACAUGUAGACGUGAUGCUUUGACGAUAAAUAUUUAUUAAAAUUCAAAUUAUUUAUUUCUGCCUUGUAAAGGUACAGACAGCGGAGGCGAAGAAAAAGCUGUCAGAUGCAGAUUGACAAAGCCGCAGCCCCCUUUCGCUUGGCAGAGCCUUUACAGCGAGACUUUUCAAACAAAGAGAAUUGCACACGGUAAUAACAGGUAUACAAUAAUGAACAAGUACAAAAGGAAACAACACAAGAUUAUACAAUAUUUAUACAAUACUUCCAAAAGAGAAAACAGAACCUACAUGCUAACGUGCAUAGCACCCAAAGUACUGUUCGGCGCAUUGAAUAGUUCAAAAUUAUUGUUUACAUAAGCUAUAUACAUGUUCGUAUAGAGCUACCAAUCCCUGCAAAAUAUUACACACACACACGCACGCACGUGCACAGCACGCACACCAAAAGGAAACGGCAACGCGCUCACAGGAAGCGCCUGACACAAAAAAAAAAGGAAAAGUGUGGGGAACCGAGGUCGUAUUGCGCUGUCGCAUCUCCCUCUCCCAGAAGGAAUGAAGAGGUUCUUGGAAAGCAGGGACGGGCGAUUCUCUCUGUCAGCAUCAGCUCCCACCAGCGAGGACGGGGCGAGAAAGCGAAGGGGGACUUUCCUUGCUGUCUAUUUUUAUGCGAAGCAUAUUACUAGAGCUCAACCCAGCUCCUCAGGCGCGGCGGUGUCGCCUUCAAUACCACGUGACACCGUGACGUCACGACAGAGGAGAAACGGGGCUCCAACUCGCGCCGUCGCUCGCGGCGUCGCGGCGGUAUAUAAGCAGCUGCGCUUGUUUCUAGGUGGCUUUGGCUCAACUCUUGCAAGAUGGGCUGGGUGGGAAUCGAGCCAGGGUCUCCGGAGUGUGAGACGGAGACGCUACCACUGAGCCACGAGUUUUUUUUUUUUUUUUCCUUAUUGUCCACUGAGCCACGAGUACGAUGUACGAUGCUUCAAAGCGGUACAAAAGCGCCUCUAGUGAAUGCGGUGUUGCCUUAGAAACGAGCUGUUUCUAAGGCUCAGGCGGGCGUCGCUUGCUCAGGCGCACAUUUCGUUGCCGCGCCGAAUGCUGCGUUGCUCGACGCUCACCGCGUCCAAUGCGGGGCGCGUAGUCGCUGCGCCGUAGCCCAUUGUCUUACACCCCUUGGCGGGUCGACGGGAACGCUCUCGCGUUCCACUCUUGAAGGCGAAGCAGAGUAACGCAUGAGUUGUUUCUUCGUCUAGCCGAACCAAAUAUAGCCAAGCAACAGCAGUUCACCAGGCUAAACAGUGGUUCAACAACUAAAAUAAAGGCUAGUAUGCUUCGCAUCCUGGGCUUAACCUUAGCUAAGCCACAGCCAUUUUUUUCUUCGUCACGCUCAAAGCCGGCUGCUCGCAGGGGCGCAGGCGAGUUCCCACGAAAUGGCGCGGGGGCGCAAGCAGUGACGUGAGUUGCCGCCAAAUGCUAGCUCUGGAUGCCAGCUCGUUCCGCGUCUCUUGGUAGACUAGUUGGUGCAUUUCUGUUAUCAUGGACUGCGCAUAUAAACGCGAACUACACAAAAGUGACAUGGACAAGAACAGCGCAAGCCCUUUCCAUGCAGUGGAGCCGCCGUAUGUCGCCGUUCAAGAUAUGCGUACUCGUAAGUGGCAUUCGAAUUUCACGUUGUGUAAUGCAUGACUGUCUUUUUCAUCUGAACAAAACUCGCUUUGUAUUGCGUAAAUGGUUUUGCAACGUAUGAUAAACUCCUUGUUUUUUGGGCUUAUUUUUUUCUGACAGGAAGAAAAAAAAGAGGCUUUAUAUGAGAACGGAUCAAGCGUUCGAGAGUUGGGACAGGGAAAUGUGAGACGUACUUUCAUGUAUACAUUUCUAAUAUUAUUUUUUCGUCUUGUAUUUUCCUUAAUUUUUCUCUAGGAAACACUCGAACGACACCGCUUAAAUUGAAGCACAGUGUGCGAAUGACCUGCUACGCUCAGAACUGUUACCACCAUUCGGGAAUAAAUCAGAUGAAAAAACAAAACUGUAAAUUCCUGUACGAUAUAUACGUCUGGUGCAUUGCAGGUAAGAAUGGAUUGUGUGUGGCACAUCUCCGCAUGUGGACUAGAGUAGAUCUAGGAACAUCAGACAAGAAGCCGCGUAUGUGAAACCCUGCGGAUAGCCCAUAUGUGAACUUUUUUUCCAGAUACGGAGGAACGGACACCGGUCAUGCCGUGCGCACGCUUCUGCAGGGCAUACUUACAAAUGAAGCUGCACUGCAGCAUACAGAAAGAAAAAAAAGUUAAGAGUGGACACUCCCAUACACCCCCAGCGGCCCAAUCGACCCUAGCGCGCCUGGCGGUUGAUGAGAGCAACUGGCCUGCACUUCCUGUUUCGGUUUCGCUGGCGCGAAAUUUGGAUUACCCCUCGUAACCGACGUUGGGCUGUAGCGGAAGCUUGUCAUUUCAGACCACUUUUCGUCACCCAAAUGGCGACGCUUUUAUUUAUCAUUUUGGUUUAGCGAUUCCCUAUUUUGUCGAGUUCAAUGUUUGGUGUGAAUUGAGGUCGUGAGGCAAUUUUUAUUUCGAUUAAGUUGUAACAGAUGGAGAUAUAGGUAAUCAUAAUUCACUACGGCUUUAUCCAUCGCGCUUGUCUUCUGUGUUUUGGUACAAGCGCUCAUAUGUAUCAAAGAGACAGAGUUUCCGCAAAGUUUUUAUUCCAAGUCAAGAUAGGCUUCUUCUGGGUUCUGCCGUUGUCAAAGCACCACGACACACAGCAGUAGCUGCCGUAGCUUGGACCGCCGGACGGCAUGGCAUCAGCACGGUCUGAAAAUAUCAAUAAGUGCACGCUUCGUUAAUUACCAAAAACAUAUGUACACGUCAUAACUGUACCAGGAAACCGCUUUGAAUGAAUAGCGAACCGAUGCACAAUAUAAAACCACCGACACAUCCUGACCUCUGACCCAUAUAACCCGGACUUACAAGGAUAAAUGUUAAUACCCCGUACAGGGGUGUUCAAAUGUUCCCAGGCCGCCAUCCUAUUUAUUACCAUGGAGGGCAUCGCGGCCUGUGAAGUUUUGGACACCCCUGUACGUACUCAGUAUAAGGAGUACAUUGGUAGGCAAAAUAGCAGUUCACAUAAGCGUGAUAAAGAUACAUUCGAAACGUCCAAAUACGAGGCCUUUGUUCGAAUGCGCGCCACGCCACGCCUACGCGACAAUACGUUGUUUAAUGUCUUCGCCACGAAAAAAUGAUAAGGAACCGAAAAUUACUAGAAUGCGCAGUACUUCCCAACAUGCAAUAUGA